UACGUAGGGUGCGAGCGUUGUCCGGAAUUAUUGGGCGUAAAGAGCUCGUAGGCGGUCUGUCGCGUCGGCUGUGAAAACCCGGAGCUCAACUCCGGGCCUGCAGUCGAUACGGGCAGACUGGAGUUCGGCAGGGGAGACUGGAAUUCCUGGUGUAGCGGUGAAAUGCGCAGAUAUCAGGAGGAACACCGGUGGCGAAGGCGGGUCUCUGGGCCGAUACUGACGCUGAGACACGAAAGCGUGGGUAGCAAACAGG
rnacentral:rRNA from 1 species